rnacentral:rRNA from 1 species
AACGAACGCUGGCGGCAUACCUAACACAUGCAAGUCGAACGAGACCUUCGGGUCUAUGGGCGCACGGGUUCGUAACGCGUGGGAACCUUCCCUUAGGUUCGGAAUAACUCCCCGAAAGGGGUGCUAAUACCGGAUAAUGUCUUCGGACCAAAGAUUUAUCGCCUUUGGAUGUGCCCGCGUUGGAUUAGCUAGUUGGUAGGGUAAAAGCCUACUAAGGCGACGAUCCAUAGCUGGUCUGAGAGGAUGAUCAGCCACACUGGGACUGAGACACGGCCCAGACUCCUACGGGAGGCAGCAGUGGGGAAUAUUGGACAAUGGGCGAAAGCCUGAUCCAGCAAUGCCGCGUGAGUGAUGAAGGCAUUAGGGUUGUAAAGCUCUUUUACCCGGGAUGAUAAUGACAGUACCGGGAGAAUAAGCUACGGCUAACUCCGUG